rnacentral:rRNA from 1 species
UGGAUCCAGACUUUGAUCCUGGCUCAGGAUGAACGCUAGCUACAGGCUUAACACAUGCAAGUCGAGGGGAAACGACAUCGAAAGCUUGCUUUUGAUGGGCGUCGACCGGCGCACGGGUGAGUAACGCGUAUCCAACCUGCCCACCACUUGGGGAUAACCUUGCGAAAGUAAGACUAAUACCCAAUGACGUCUCUAGAAGACAUCUGAAGGAGAUUAAAGAUUUAUCGGUGAUGGAUGGGGAUGCGUCUGAUUAGCUUGUUGGCGGGGUAACGGCCCACCAAGGCGACGAUCAGUAGGGGUUCUGAGAGGAAGGUCCCCCACAUUGGAACUGAGACACGGUCCAAACUCCUACGGGAGGCAGCAGUGAGGAAUAUUGGUCAAUGGACGAGAGUCUGAACCAGCCAAGUAGCGUGCAGGAUGACGGCCCUAUGGGUUGUAAACUGCUUUUAUAAGGGAAUAAAGUGAGUCUCGUGAGACUUUUUGCAUGUACCUUAUGAAUAAGGACCGGCUAAUUCCGUGCCAGCAGCCGCGGUAAUACGGAAGGUCCGGGCGUUAUCCGGAUUUAUUGGGUUUAAAGGGAGCGUAGGCCGGAGAUUAAGCGUGUUGUGAAAUGUAGAUGCUCAACAUCUGCACUGCAGCGCGAACUGGUUUCCUUGAGUACGCACAAAGUGGGCGGAAUUCGUGGUGUAGCGGUGAAAUGCUUAGAUAUCACGAAGAACUCCGAUUGCGAAGGCAGCUCACUGGAGUGCAACUGACGCUGAAGCUCGAAAGUGCGGGUAUCGAACAGGAUUAGAUACCCUGGUAGUCCGCACGGUAAACGAUGGAUGCCCGCUGUUGGUCUGGAUAGGUCAGCGGCCAAGCGAAAGCAUUAAGCAUCCCACCUGGGGAGUACGCCGGCAACGGUGCAACUCAAAUGAAUUGACGGA